GACGAACGCUGGCGGCGUGCUUAACACAUGCAAGUCGAACGGAAAGGCCCUGCUUUUGUGGGGUGCUCGAGUGGCGAACGGGUGAGUAACACGUGAGUAACCUGCCCUUGACUUUGGGAUAACUUCAGGAAACUGGGGCUAAUACCGGAUAGGAGCUCCUGCUGCAUGGUGUGGGUUGGAAAGUUUCGGCGGUUGGGGAUGGACUCGCGGCUUAUCAGCUUGUUGGUGGGGUAGUGGCUUACCAAGGCUUUGACGGGUAGCCGGCCUGAGAGGGGGACCGGCCACAUUGGGACUGAGAUACGGCCCAGACUCCUACGGGAGGCAGCAGUCGGGAAUAUUGCACAAUGGGCGGAAGCCUGAUGCAGCAACGCCGCGUGCGGGAUGACGGCCUUCGGGUGGUAAACCGCUUUCGCCUGUGACGAAGCGUGAGUGACGGUAAUGGGUAAAGAAGCACCGGCUAACUACGUG
rnacentral:rRNA from 1 species